GUCAGUGUGGUGUAGUGGUUUACAUGUUGGACUAUGACUCUGGAGACCAGGAUUCAAAUCUAUGCUCAGCCA